rnacentral:rRNA from 1 species
UACAGAGGUCUCAAGCGUUGUUCGGAUUCAUUGGGCGUAAGGGGUGCGUAGGUGGCGCGCUAAGUCAGGUGUGAAAUUUCGGAGCUCAACUCCGAAACUGCAUUUGAUACUGGCGUGCUUGAGGACUGGAGAGGAGACUGGAAUUUACGGUGUAGCAGUGAAAUGCGUAGAGAUCGUAAGGAAGACCAGUGGCGAAGGCGGGUCUCUGGACAGUUCCUGACAC